AUGACGGCUACCUAUUCGGACGUGACAAACCUAGUCACACCCGGGCCGAUAACCGCAGACGGACUUCAUCGGAGGUGCGCCGUGACGCGGCCCGAUAUAGAGGCGCCGCACACCCUCUAUGCUUCACAGAUGAAGUACUGGAUCACGAAUUCCCCUGAGGGGUUCAAGCCCGUCAAUAUUGAAUCAUACGACGGAACAACUGAUCCCGCAGUAUGGAUUGAGGACUUUAUUCUCCGCAUCCACAUGGCCCGCGGAGACGACCUCCACGCCAUCAAAUACCUCCCACUAAAGCUCAAAGGACCAGCUAGACAUUGGUUGAAUAGCCUGCCUGAAAAUUCCAUGGGCGGCUGGGAGGACUUGGAAGAAGCUUUCCUUGACAACUUCCAAGGUACUUAUGUCCGGCCACCAGAUGCCGAUGACUUAAGCCACAUAGUUCAACAACCUGGAGAAUCAGCCAGAAAAUUCUGGACUAGGUUCCUAACCAAGAAGAACUAG
rnacentral:rRNA from 1 species